CAUAUAUUAUAUAAAUUUAUUUUUUAUAGAAAUUAAAAAUUAGUUUCAUUUCUCGAAAUAAUUGCAUACGAAAAUUGUUUUAUAAAUAAAUGAAUGAAUAUAGUAGUCAAUUUUUUAUUUUAUAUCAUAUUUCACUUAUUUACAAAUAAUUAUACACAGUUUUACAGAAUAAUGUUCCAAAAUAAAAUUUAUGUAAGAAAAUUAUAGUUGCAUUUAUGCUUAGAUAAUAUAGGAAUAAUUAACGAAACAUUUAAAAUUGCAAAAUAUCUAAAUGUUCGCCAAAUUUCGAAACUCUCAUUUUACUAUCAAAUAUAUUAUUGAUCAUGUCCCCUGAUAAUCAUGGGCCCCUUUACGUGGAAGAACAACGCGCAUACUUCAAAGUAGCCAUAUCAACUGAACCAAGUAAAACCAUAUGAUGUCUGAUGAUCCGUCUGUAUUAUGGCAGGAAAACGAGUACGGAUUUCUAUCGAUAUCCGUGGUUAAUUGAGUUUUACCAUUUCACAGUCAAUAAAUGAAUACAACCUAUGCUUACAUUUAAUUGCAUUUAUUUUCAGUCUACUCAGUCUACUUGAGUUCUAAGCAACAAAGACAAUUAUUCCUAUAACAAAUAUUGCUUAUGAUCUUUAUCACUACGUUAGUUUCUAUCAUUGUUUGUAUGAUUGUACCCUUUAUAAGAACCUUUUUUUAAAUUUCGGUUUAUGUAGUUUAUUCAGACGAAGAGAAUUGGAUGUACUGCUUCGGCGGUUCGACCUCAGACAAAGGUAUUAAAUGAUGAACAGUUUUUUCGUAAUUAUAUAUAGUCAUCGAUAUGUGAUACUUAACGGAACUUCUGCAAUAUAAGAUUUAAAGUGCAUCUACAAGACUCAUACAGCUCUGGACGCGGCUGGCUAAACCAAUUGAUUGCUUAAUAUAUUAAUUCGUAAUGUACUGCAAAGAAGUGCAGCGUUAGUUGACCGGUAGUUUGGAGUAAUAUCUGACCAACUGUCAAAGGACGUAGAAUUCUAGGAAAAGCCGAGUGUUUUUCUUCUCCGUUAAGUGAAAAUGAGAUAAAGAUACCUGACACGAAAUAUCGAGGUUAAAAUAAAUAUGUUGGGUGCCUCUCUACGGAGUCACUUCCAAGAACUGAUAGAGAUAGUGGCCAUCAGCUAACACGGCAAACUCUCAGUCAGCUAACGCGGCACUACUACAUAUCAUUCCUAUGAAGUAUGUAAGUAUUCAUAUAACGUGCAAUAGGUUUGAAGCGGAUACGAAGUGAAUGAAACACCCGGAAAAAUUAUGCUUUGAUGGAGAAUUAACAUCAAGUGAUAACAAGAACAAAAUUUCUUGAACUUUCAGUCACUGCGGUUAUAGAUAACUUGAUAGUUCGUGAUGACAUCCCCUUCUGGUAAUAACACAAGCAUAGCAGAUCGGUUAGAUAUUCUAGAAAAAUUAGAAGAUGGCAUGACUGUGAGUAGUAUUGCCUGUGAAUAUGGACUCAGUAACAGGACAAUACGACGAUACCGGCAGCACUCGAAGGCGAUUCGCAACUUUGCAGCGAAUCCAAAAUACCGGGAAAUGAAGAGGCAACGGAUACCAAUAUAUACCGAUUUGGAGUCCAAAUUGUAUCGUUGGUUUCAGCAAAGGAAGUUGUUAGGAGACUGUUUAACAGAUAAUAUUUUAAUAAAUAAAGCUAAAGAAAUAGAAACAGAGUUUCCCAGUACGUCGAAUUUUAAAGCAAGUCGAGGUUGGCUCCAGAACUGGAAGAAAAAAUAUGAUAUUGGCAAGAACACGACAGAUCCGAAUGAAAUCGCUGCGAAUAAUUUUAUACGUGAAUUUUUACAAAUACUAGUAAAAGAAGAUAUAAACGAAGAAGAUGUGUACAACAUGGACGAGACUACUUUACUUUGGAAAGCACUUCCGUGGAAGACAUUAGUUCACGAGGAAAAAUAUCUGAUCAUAAAAGGAGAAAACAGAAAAACAGACAUAGUGACUGUGGCAUUUUGUGCAAACACUAGUGGUACACACAAAUUGCCGUUACUCUUUGUAAAUAAAUUCGCAAAUCCCCGAGCAUUGAAACAUUGUAAGGGUACAUUACCGGUGGUAUAUAAAAGUCAUUGUAAUGCCUGGGUUAACGAAGAUAUUUUUCGGGAAUGGUAUACUAAUCAUUUUAAGCAAAGUGUGAAAGAGCGCCAAUUACAGGAACAACGUAAAGGAAAAGUAAUAUUGCUCGUUGACAAUUUCAAGGCACACAAACUUGAAAAAAAGGAACUGGAUGAUGGUCACUUUAUGUUAAUAUUUUUACCACCGAAUACGUCCUCGUUGAUCCAACCUAUGGACCGAGGCGUAAUUACUCAAUGUAAAAAGAUAUUUCGGCUUAAACUACUUCAUCGGGUACUCCAGUAUAACGACGGACUUACACAGUUUUAUGCUGACUACGAUAUUAAGGAUUGUAUCGAUUACAUUAGCGAAGCAUGGAAUAAUGUUACACCACAAAACAUUCGUAGUUCCUGGGUGAAAAUUCUUAACAGACAGUUUGAAUUUAAUAAUAUUAAAACUGAGAAUUCUACGGUCACUGAUGAACAGAAUGCAGAGCAAUCGAUCGACGUGAUGUCUGCUGAAGAAAUAACAGAAUGGAUUUCCGGAUGCGAACAGGCGGAAAUCAUUCCAGAGGAAACUGCAAUUUUGAAACAGAGUUGCAAAUUUGAAUCAUCUCCUUCUCUGAUAGAAGACGAAGAAAUUGAUCGUCUAUUGUAUAAUUUAAGGAUGCUGAGUAAAAUCGAACCAGAAAUUGAAGCCGAUGCAAAACGAAUAAUAGAUCAUUUUAAUAAAAAGCAAGAAAGAUAAUAUUGUUCCUGUUAUAGUUAUUGUUAUCAUUAUUUUUACACCAUCGAUGUACCAUUUAAAUCGGAACAUGUGAUCUCUUGGCAGAUAAAUAUAUUGAAUACGAUCCAGUAAUAAUCUUGGUUGAUUUAAUAUUGCUUAAAAGACAAGCAUACAGGCAUUUGCUUCACAAUUGCGAUAUAACGCCGUGUUGGAAACUAG